rnacentral:lncRNA from 1 species
GUUAGCUCGUAAAUAUAGUUUGAUUAUAAAUGUAGAAGAUGAAAUUAAUAUGAGUAAUGUAUGGGACUCUAUACAAACUUUUGAAAAAGAAUAUUGGCACCAUGAAGUAUGGAAUGAUAAAAAUAAUGUCAAUGGUAAUAAAUUAAGAUUUUAUAGAUUGUUUAAAACUUGUAUUGGUACGGAGCCUUAUGUAAAGGUAGUUAAUAAUAGAUGCCACCGACGUAUUUUGUCACUAUUCAGAGCUGGUUCGUUACAACUUAAAGUUGAAACAGGUCGAUAUGCUAGACCACCAGAACCUCUACAAGACCGUUUAUGUAUUUUUUGUGAUAGUAGCCAAAUUGAAGAUGAAAAACACUUUCUUUUUAAUUGUUGUUUUUACUCUGAUAUCAGACAUGAAUUAUAUGCCAAAGCCUGUCUUUUAAAUGUUGAUUUUGAGAAUUUAUGUGAUGUUGAAAAACUUCGUUAUCUUAUGUGUAAUGAGAAUAUGGUUCCUCUUUUAGCUAGUUCCCUUUAUCAUAUGUUUUAUCGACGAAAACAUGUCAUCUAGAAAUUAUAUAUGUUUUGUUAUUUUUUAUUUAUUUUUUUAAUUUACGAAAUACAUUUUAAAUGUAUCAAAGCUGUCCUUUUAUGUAUGUAUUAGAUGUUUGUUUUAAUGAUAGUGUCUCAUAAGUCGUUUUCGGCUGGCAUCCUUUUACAUAAAUGUUGGGUUCUUAUGACUUUAUGUGUAUAUAUAUAUAUUGAUAUUGUAAUGGAUGGUGACACUUUAAUAAAAUAAAUCUUAUCUUAUCUUAUCUUAUCUUAUCUUAAUAAAGAGAGGAUACAAGGAGCUUGAAAUCGAAAAGUACAUAAAUUAGGCAUUAUCUUGUAAUAAAUCGGAUUUAAUCAGAAAAAAGGCCAAACAAAACACAAAGGAAAUUCCUUUAGUAUUGGCAACGAAAUUUAAUCCAUGCAUUCAUAAAUUAAAACAAUGCAUUAGUUAACAUUGGGAUCUACUAAAACAGGAUGUAGUUUGCAACGAAAUAUGUUCACGCAAACCAAUAAUAGCUUAUAAAAAGCAUAAAAAUAUUGCAGAUCUAUU